UGUCAAGUUUUAAUUUUUUUUUUUUUGCUUGUUAUUCUUGUUUCUAAUUUUAGUAAGUCUCGAUAAGCUAGUUUCAAUUCAUUUUACUGUUUUAAAUUUUAAAUAUUUGUUGUUUACAACGCUACGAUGGCUUGGAUUGUUUUCAGCGAAUUCUUCGUCAACGUAAAUUUUGUUAUGCCAAAAAACAGUGCAGAAAGAAUUCAUCCCGUUAACGUUAUUUCGUGUGCCCUGACACGCAGGAUACGAAUUACUUGUAAUCUAAAAUUGAGCGAAGAUGGUGGACAAGAGUAACAACGUAGAAGCUGCUCACCUCUGGAAGGCGUUGAGCGAAGAUAAAAUCAAAGUAAAUUGCAGUUGGUUUGGUUCCGUGUCCAGGUGUCCUCCACUUCCAAAUCAGUCGCUCUUUUCAGAGCCUGAUUGAAGUGAUUGACGAAUUUGGUAAAUUGGUCCACCCAUCAAAGUGUGAAUUUCCCUUGAUGGAUU